GACGUAGGGCGCGAGCGUUGUCCGGAUUUAUUGGGCGUAAAGAGCUCGUAGGCGGUUUGUCGCGUCGGCCGUGAAAUCUCCACGCUUAACGUGGAGCGUGCGGUCGAUACGGGCAGACUUGAGUUCGGUAGGGGAGACUGGAAUUCCUGGUGUAGCGGUGAAAUGCGCAGAUAUCAGGAGGAACACCGGUGGCGAAGGCGGGUCUCUGGGCCGAUACUGACGUGGAGGGAGCGAAAGCGUGGGGAGCGAACAGG
rnacentral:rRNA from 1 species